GAUGAACGCUAGCGGCAGGCUUAACACAUGCAAGUCGAGGGGUAUAGUAGCAAUACUAGAGACCGGCGCACGGGUGCGUAACGCGUAUGCAAUCUACCUUUUGCAGGGGAAUAGCCCAGAGAAAUUUGGAUUAAUGCCCCAUAGUAUAGUGACUCGGCAUCGAGAUACUAUUAAAGUUACAACGGCAAAAGAUGAGCAUGCGUCCCAUUAGCUAGUUGGUAAGGUAACGGCUUACCAAGGCGACGAUGGGUAGGGGUCCUGAGAGGGAGAUCCCCCACACUGGUACUGAGACACGGACCAGACUCCUACGGGAGGCAGCAGUGAGGAAUAUUGGACAAUGGGCGCAAGCCUGAUCCAGCCAUGCCGCGUGCAGGAUGAAGCAUCUAUGGUGUGUAAACUGCUUUUGACGAGAAGAAACACUGCUUCGUGAAGCAGCUUGACGGUAUCGUAAGAAUAAGGGAUCGGCUAACUCCGUGCC
rnacentral:rRNA from 1 species